rnacentral:tRNA from 1 species
GGCCGGAUAGCUCAGUUGGUAGAGCAGUGGACUGAAAAUCCAUGUGUCACUGGUUCAAAUCCUGUUCUGGCCA